rnacentral:lncRNA from 1 species
UAAUUGAAUGACAAAACCAUCAUUUUGAGGCACUUUUCUAAAAUUGGACAACGAUUAUAUCAAUUUGCCGUCCUAGGUUCGAAUCCCGUUCCGGCCACAUCGGAUUUUCAGGUGCCAAAAAACACCAUUUAGAGGCCUUUUUCGAAAAACUCAUACAUGGUAAGAUUGUCUUAAAAAGCCCCCCAGAACCCAAAUUCACCCUCAGGAUGCAAAUAAAAAAUGCAAAAAGGCCAACGACACGCGACGUUCCCAAGCGGUCACCCAUCUAAGUACUAAUCGCGCCCGAUGUUGCUUAACUUCAGUGAUCGGACGAGAACUGGUGUUUUCAACAUGGUAUGAUCGUUGACAAAGGCAGUCACGUUAAAAGAGGAUUUUAUUCUGACCAAAGUCAAAAGUGGAUGGUCAAAGUGAUAAUCGAAAUUGAUUAAUUGAAUGACAAAACCAUCAUUUGGAGGCACUUUUCUAAAAUUGGACACAUGCAACGAUUAUAUCAAUUUGCCGUCCUAGGUUCGAAUUCCGUUCCGGCAACAUUGGAUUUUCAAGUGCCAAAAAACAUCAUUCAGAGGCCUUUUUCGAAAAAUUCAUACAUGGUAAGAUUGUCUUAAAAUGCCCCCCAGAACCCAAAUUCACCCUCAGGAUGUAAAUAAAAAAUGCAAAAAGGCCAACGACACGCGACGUUCCCAAGCGGUCACCCAUCUAAGUACUAAUCGCGCCCGAUGUUGCUUAACUUCAGUGAUCGGACGAGAACUGGUGUUUUCAACAUGGUAUGAUCGUUGACAAAGGCAGUCACGUUAAAAGAGGAUUUUAUUCUGACCAAAGUCAAAAGUGGAUGGUCAAAGUGAUAAUCGAAAUUGAUUAAUUGAAUGACAAAACCAUCAUUUGGAGGCACUAUUCUAAAAUUGGACACAUGCAACGAUUAUAUCAAUUUGCCAUCCUAGGUUCGAAUCCCGUUCCGGCCACAUCGGAUUUUCAAGUGCCAAAAAACACCAUUUAGAGGCCUUUUUCGAAAAACUCAUACAUGGUAAGAUUGUCUUAAAAUGCCCCCCAGAACCCAAAUUCACCCUCAGGAUGCAAAUAAAAAAUGCAAAAAGGCCAACGACACGCGACGUUCCCAAGCGGUCACCCAUCUAAGUACUAAUCGCGCCCGAUGUUGCUUAACUUCAGUGAUCGGACGAGAACUGGUGUUUUCAACAUGGUAUGAUCGUUGACAAAGGCAGUCACGUUAAAAGAGGAUUUUAUUCUGACCAAAGUCAAAAGUGGAUGGUCAAAGUGAUAAUCGAAAUUGAUUAAUUGAAUGACAAAACCAUCAUUUGGAGGCACUUUUCUAAAAUUGGACACAUGCAACGAUUAUAUCAAUUUGCCAUCCUAGGUUCGAAUCCCGUUCCGGCCACAUCGGAUUUUCAAGUGCCAAAAAACACCAUUUAGAGGCCUUUUUCGAAAAAUUCAUACAUGGUAAGAUUGUCUUAAAAUGCCCCCCAGAACCCAAAUUCACCCUCAGGAUGCAAAUAAAAAAUGCAAAAAGGCCAACGACACGCGACGUUCCCAAGCGGUCACCCAUCUAAGUACUAAUCGCGCCCGAUGUUGCUUAACUUCAGUGAUCGGACGAGAACUGGUGUUUUCAACAUGGUAUGAUCGUUGACAAAGGCAGUCACGUUAAAAGAGGAUUUUAUUCUGACCAAAGUCAAAAGUGAAUGGUCAAAGUGAUAAUCGAAAUUGAUUAAUUGAAUGACAAAACCAUCAUUUGGAGGCACUUUUCUAAAAUUGGACACAUGCAACGAUUAUAUCAAUUUGCCGUCCUAGGUUCGAAUCCCGUUCCGGCAACAUUGGAUUUUCAAGUGCCAAAAAACAUCAUUCAGAGGCCUUUUUCGAAAAAUUCAUACAUGGUAAGAUUGUCUUAAAAUGCCCCCCAGAACCCAAAAUCACCCUCAGGAUGCAAAUAAAAAA